CUACGGGUUGCUCCAGUGAGGAAUAUUGCACAAUGGGGGGAACCCUGAUGCAGCAACGCCGCGUGGAGGAUGACGCAUUUCGGUGUGUAAACUCCUUUUAUAUGUCAAGAAAAUGACGGUAGCAUAUGAAUAAGCACCGGCUAACUCCGUGCCAGCAGCCGCGGUAAUACGGAGGGUGCAAGCGUUACUCGGAAUCACUGGGCGUAAAGGACGCGUAGGCGGGUUGGAAAGUCAGGUGUGAAAUCCUACAGCUUAACUGUAGAACUGCACUUGAAACUUCUAAUCUAGAGUAUGGGAGGGGGAGAUGGAAUUAGUGGUGUAGGGGUAAAAUCCGUAGAUAUCACUAGGAAUACCUAAAGCGAAGGCGAUCUCCUGGAACAUUACUGACGCUAAGGCGUGAAAGCGCGGGGAGCAAACAGGAUUAGAUACCCUGGUAGUC
rnacentral:rRNA from 1 species